rnacentral:rRNA from 1 species
GUCGAGCGGAUCUUGUUGGUAGCUUGCUAUCAACUUGGUUAGCGGCGGACGGGUGAGUAACACGUAGGCAACCUGCCCAUAAGAUCGGGAUAACAUUCGGAAACGAAUGCUAAGACCGGAUAAACAAUUUGGCUGCAUGGCUGAAUUGGGAAACGCGGAGCAAUCUGCGGCUUGUGGAUGGGCCUGCGGCGCAUUAGCUAGUUGGUGGGGUAACGGCUCACCAAGGCGACGAUGCGUAGCCGACCUGAGAGGGUGAACGGCCACACUGGGACUGAGACACGGCCCAGACUCCUACGGGAGGCAGCAGUAGGGAAUCUUCCACAAUGGGCGAAAGCCUGAUGGAGCAACGCCGCGUGAGUGAGGAAGGCUUUCGGGUCGUAAAGCUCUGUUGCCAGGGAAGAAUAAGGAUGAGAGUAACUGCUCAUUCGAUGACGGUACCUGAGAAGAAAGCCCCGGCUAACUACGUGCCAGCAGCCGCGGUAAUACGUAGGGGGCAAGCGUUGUCCGGAAUUAUUGGGCGUAAAGCGCGCGCAGGCGGUUCUUUAAGUCUGGUGUCUAAGUGCGGGGCUCAACCCCGUGAUGCACUGGAAACUGGGGAACUUGAGUGCAGAAGAGGAGAGCGGAAUUCCACGUGUAGCGGUGAAAUGCGUAGAGAUGUGGAGGAACACCAGUGGCGAAG